CCUACGGGUGGCAGCAGUGGGGAAUAUUGGGCAAUGGGCGCAAGCCUGACCCAGCAAAGCCGCGUGAAGGAAGAAGGCUUUCGGGUUGUAAACUUCUUUUGUCAGGGAAGAGCAGAAGACGGUACCUGACGAAUAAGCCACGGCUAACUACGUGCCAGCAGCCGCGGUAAUACGUAGGGGGCAAGCGUUGUCCGGAUUUACUGGGUGUAAAGGGCGUGUAGCCGGGUUGACAAGUCAGAUGUGAAAGCCUGCGGCUUAACCGCAGAACUGCCUUUGAAACUGUUGAUCUUGAGUACUGGAGAGGCAGAUGGAAUUCCUAGUGUAGCGGUGAAAUGCGUAGAUAUUAGGCGGAACACCAGUGGCGAAGGCGGUCUGCUGGACAGCAACUGACGGUGAGGCGCGAAAGCGUGGGGAGCAAACAGGAUUAGAUACCCGAGUAGUC
rnacentral:rRNA from 1 species